UACGGGGGGGGUAAGUGUUGUUCGGAAUUACUGGGCGUAAAGGGCUCGUAGGCGGCCAACUAAGUCAUACGUGAAAUCCCUCAGCUUAACUGGGGAACUGCGUGUGAUACUGGAUGGCUUGGAUUCGGGAGAGGGAUGCGGAAUUCCAGGUGUAGCGGUGAAAUGCGUAGAUAUCUGGAGGAACACCGGUGGCGAAGGCGGCAUCCUGGACCAACACUGACACUGAGGAGCGAAAGCCAGGGGAGCAAACGGG
rnacentral:rRNA from 1 species